CUUCAACACAGCGGGGGGAGAAUGCAGUAGCCUGUGAAAUUGGUGCCAUAUCGGUGAUUUUCCGGCACAUUGCAGGCUUCAUCAGGAUCCCCUCAAUCCUCUUAGGCUGCAUCCCCACCUCUAUAUACAGAGACACUAAAGCGGUCUGCGCAGCCUUCAACCAAAGCAUGUAACAGUAUCUAUCUUCAAGGUUUGAUACAUCUCCCCCUAUGGAUGACGUUUACUUACAGUAGCCUAUGGUAUAUUCUCCGUUUCCCAUACAAGAGUGAAGAUGUGGACUUGUAGAAAAGUUGUU